UACGUAGGGUGCAAGCGUUAAUCGGAAUUACUGGGCGUAAAGCGUGCGCAGGCGGUUGUGUAAGACAGAUGUGAAAUCUCCGGGCUCAACCCGGAAACUGCAUUGCGAACUGACCUGGCUGGAGUGCAGGAGAGGGCAGCGGAAUUCCCGGUGUAGCGGUGAAAUGCGCAGAUAUCGGGAAGAACACCAGUGGCGAAGGCGGCUGCCUGGCCUGUAACUGACGCUGAGACGCGAAAGCGUGGGGAGCGAACCGG
rnacentral:rRNA from 1 species